rnacentral:sRNA from 2 species
GUACCCGCAGCGCCAAACCUCGUCCCGCGGGAACGGACCCCCACAAGAACACCCAGGGGACGAGGACGGGGGACCCACACGUCCUCUCGGAUAACCGGAAAGCUGUGCGAGAGCACAACUUUCCUUGGGGUGAAGCCCAACAUUUCCUUCGGGAAAGUUGGGCCGGGCUACCUCUCAGCCCGAACCCGACAGCUGACCUCGCAGGCGCCAGUGGAGAGGAUUU